AUGGUCUCCACGAACCCGCCGCCGCCGCCGGCGCUGUCCGAGGCGGCCGCCGCCGUGUCGGGCGACGACGCCAGCAAGAAGGUGCGGAAGCCCUACACCAUCACCAAGUCGCGCGAGAGCUGGACGGAGCAGGAGCACGACAAGUUCCUCGAGGCCCUGCAGCUCUUUGAUCGUGACUGGAAAAAGAUAGAAGCUUUUGUUGGUUCGAAGACUGUCAUCCAGAUAAGGAGCCAUGCACAGAAGUAUUUUUUGAAGGUUCAGAAAAAUGGAACCAGCGAACAUGUCCCACCUCCACGACCGAAGCGUAAAGCUGCCCACCCAUACCCUCAGAAGGCCUCCAAAAAUGAGCCAGGAUAUGCCCUGAAGACAGAUCCAUCUGCCAUGCUUAGAAAUUCAGGAAUGAACGUGGCUGUUUCUCCAUGGACCCACAAUUCUAUCCCACCAGUUGUCGCCUCAUCUUUCAUGAAAGAAGAUUUAGGUGCUGGGUCUAUGGGUCCAAACAUUUUUUGCUCAAGCAGUAGUGAAGGCCCUCCAAGGGCAUGGCAAUCUGGUGAAACCAAUGACCAGAUAAAUCAAGUUCCAUCACUCCGCAUUAUGCCAGAUUUUGCACAAGUAUACAGCUUCUUAGGCAGUGUUUUCGAUCCAAGCACAAAGGGCCAUUUGCAGAAACUGAAGGAGAUGAAUCCAAUUGAUGUUGAAACAGCACUGUUGUUAAUGAGAAAUCUCUCCAUCAACUUGACCAGUCCUGAUUUUGAAGAUCAAAGGAAGUUGCUGUCUUCGUACAAUUCCACCUCUGAUGGGCUAGAGCUAGGGAGCUCCAGAAGCUCACUUCUUACGGAUAAUGCAUUGAGCCUUUUUUGA
rnacentral:rRNA from 1 species